AGAGUUUGAUCCUGGCUCAGAUUGAACGCUGGCGGCAGGCCUAACACAUGCAAGUCGAACGGUAACAGGAAGCAGCUUGCUGCUUCGCUGACGAGUGGCGGACGGGUGAGUAAUGUCUGGGAAACUGCCUGAUGGAGGGGGAUAACUACUGGAAACGGUGGCUAAUACCGCAUAACGUCGCAAGACCAAAGAGGGGGACCUUCGGGCCUCUUGCCAUCAGAUGUGCCCAGAUGGGAUUAGCUAGUUGGUGAGGUAACGGCUCACCAAGGCGACGAUCCCUAGCUGGUCUGAGAGGAUGACCAGCCACACUGGAACUGAGACACGGUCCAGACUCCUACGGGAGGCAGCAGUGGGGAAUAUUGCACAAUGGGCGCAAGCCUGAUGCAGCCAUGCCGCGUGUAUGAAGAAGGCCUUCGGGUUGUAAAGUACUUUCAGCGGGGAGGAAGGUGUUGUGGUUAAUAACCGCAGCAAUUGACGUUACCCGCAGAAGAAGCACCGGCUAACUCCGUGCCAGCAGCCGCGGUAAUACGGAGGGUGCAAGCGUUAAUCGGAAUUACUGGGCGUAAAGCGCACGCAGGCGGUCUGUCAAGUCGGAUGUGAAAUCCCCGGGCUCAACCUGGGAACUGCAUUCGAAACUGGCAGGCUUGAGUCUUGUAGAGGGGGGUAGAAUUCCAGGUGUAGCGGUGAAAUGCGUAGAGAUCUGGAGGAAUACCGGUGGCGAAGGCGGCCCCCUGGACAAAGACUGACGCUCAGGUGCGAAAGCGUGGGGAGCAAACAGGAUUAGAUACCCUGGUAGUCCACGCCGUAAACGAUGUCUACUUGGAGGUUGUGCCCUUGAGGCGUGGCUUCCGGAGCUAACGCGUUAAGUAGACCGCCUGGGGAGUACGGCCGCAAGGUUAAAACUCAAAUGAAUUGACGGGGGCCCGCACAAGCGGUGGAGCAUGUGGUUUAAUUCGAUGCAACGCGAAGAACCUUACCUGGUCUUGACAUCCACAGAACUUUCCAGAGAUGGAUUGGUGCCUUCGGGAACUGUGAGACAGGUGCUGCAUGGCUGUCGUCAGCUCGUGUUGUGAAAUGUUGGGUUAAGUCCCGCAACGAGCGCAACCCUUAUCCUUUGUUGCCAGCGAUUAGGUCGGGAACUCAAAGGAGACUGCCAGUGAUAAACUGGAGGAAGGUGGGGAUGACGUCGAGUCAUCAUGGCCCUUACGACCAGGGCUACACACGUGCUACAAUGGCGCAUACAAAGAGAAGCGACCUCGCGAGAGCAAGCGGACCUCAUAAAGUGCGUCGUAGUCCGGAUUGGAGUCUGCAACUCGACUCCAUGAAGUCGGAAUCGCUAGUAAUCGUGGAUCAGAAUGCCACGGUGAAUACGUUCCCGGGCCUUGUACACACCGCCCGUCACACCAUGGGAGUGGGUUGCAAAAGAAGUAGGUAGCUUAACCUUCGGGAGGGCGCUUACCACUUUGUGAUUCAUGACUGGGGUGAAGUCGUAACAAGGUAGCC
rnacentral:rRNA from 1 species